rnacentral:rRNA from 1 species
CACGUAGGGUGCGAGCGUUGUCCGGAAUUAUUGGGCGUAAAGAGCUCGUAGGCGGUGUGUCGCGUCGGCCGUGAAAACCUGCAGCUUAACUGUGGGCUUGCGGUCGAUACGGGCAUCACUGGAGUUCGGCAGGGGAGACUGGAAUUCCUGGUGUAGCGGUGAAAUGCGCAGAUAUCAGGAAGAACACCCGUGGCUAAGGCGGUUCUCUAGUACGGUACUGACGCUGAGACGCGAAAGCGUGGGGAGCGAACAGG